GGGCCCCCGGGUCCGCCGCGCCUUCUGCCCGCCUACCUUUCGUCGCCCGGGUCUCCUGACCUCGAGGCCCAGGCCUGCAGGGCCGUGGGCAGAAACUCGUGAGAAGGGGGCUGCGCGUUGUGCUCAGACUCAGCCUUGCCUCCGUUGCCUCCCUGACUUCUGGUCAAACCUGAGGGCAGGAGCCCCCCGACAGGCAUAUUCUGUUUUCUCUUGGCAUCCAUGAGACAGUAGCAGGCUCCAGUCUCUUCACAUGUCCUGAAACUACUCACCUACCUAAGAGUCUCAGCAUUAUUGGCAUAACUCCACCUCCCUGUGCCUUUCCUGCCGUGGAAGGAAGUGGAGAGAAGGGAGGAGUCAAGUGACAAUAAACUUCUGAGAAGAGAUGGCUGGAUGGCAUCACCAACUCAAUGAACCUGAGUUUGAGUAAACUCCGGGAGUUGGUGAUGGACAGGGAGGCCUGGCAGCUGCGAUUCAUGGGGUUGAAGAGAGUCGGACACGACUGAGCGACUGAACUGAACUGAACUGAGCUGAAGUCUGCAAAAAUAUGCAACAGUUUGGUAUUGGGACCAGGCAGAUUGUUUGAAAUUCAGAAUGAUUCCCCAAUUUCUAACAUAAAAAAGCAGAGGAAAUAAAGAAAACUUUAUAUUGCU